rnacentral:ncRNA from 2 species
AAUUUUUACGGAAGCUGAGAUAUAAAUUCUUUACUUGGGCACUUGGAAUUUAUGGAGCUAGUAGUGCAACCGACCGAUUGAUUU